AAGUGAUUGCUUCUUAGUUUUAGCAACACUUCCUUAAUGUACUUGAUACUAUGAACCAGGCUCUUUACAUUUUAAAACUCAAGAUUUUUGGUCAUCUAUUACCUUCUUCAAGCAGAAAUCUUACAGAUAAUAUAGAAAAACUUGGUUUACUUGAGGUAGUACAUGUUCUCCUUUGUUCAGAGAAUUAACAAUAAUUACUUGAGGGCAGAGAAAGUCAGUGAAUGUGCAUGUGAGUUUCCUAGAAUAGAGUGUAGGGUCUUUUUUUUUUUUCUUAUUUAAUGGAAAACUAUUCAACAGAGAGACAAGCAUAAUGAGGCCUCAUGUACCCAACAUCUCUCCAUAGCACUUAUAUGCAUAUCAGUACAUGGCAUGCAUAUAAGCAAUCUUUUACCUCCCACCUUGCGCUCCCUAGAUUAUUUUGAAGGAACUCAAACAUCAGAGCAUUUCAUUGGUAAAUAUUUCAGUACACAUUUCUAAAACAUAAGGAUUUCUUUUUAAAAAGUGUGAUAUUACACUUAAAAAUACAUUCUUAAUUUUGUAUAGUAUGUAUUUCUCCAGUUGUCAUAUAAACUGUCUAUUUUAUUAAAUAAUAACUUAUUGUAGUUUGUUUUAAUCAGGAUCCAAAUAAGGUCAGUAUGUAACUGGUUUGAGACAUCUCUUAGAUAUAUUUUAAUCCACGGGUUCCCCGACUCUUUCUCAGCAACACCCCACCUCCUUUAAAAAAAAAAACAAAAACAAAACUUAGUGGUUUCCUAUGAAGUUUCCCACAGUUUGGAUUUAGUUGACUGCAUCCCUCUGGUGUUAGCAUGUUCCUCUUUUCUUUAUGUAUCUUUUAUAUAUCAAAUCUGUAAUCAGGAAUCUGAUUCCUGGUCAGAUUAAGGCUCAGUAUUUUGGGGGUAGGGUAGAGUAGGGGCAAGACCACUUCAUAGGCGGUGGUGUGCACUUUCAUCAGGAGAUUCGUAAUGUCUGCUUGUCUUCGUUUGGCCCAUUGGAACUUAUUUAGGUUGGUUACCAAGUCGUUUUGACACAAUGCUGCUAAACUUUGAUAGCUUCUAUGCUUUGUGGUAUGAUAAGGUGCUCCUGAUUUAUCAUAUACAUUUCCUGCCCCAAACAUAGAAUCAACUAUUUCUCCAAGGAGCUCUGUGGGUGCUAGGGGUGGGAGUUACAGUGAAUGGUUGCAUGGAUUUGAAAAAAAGGCAAAAGAAUGUAUGGCUGGAACUUCAGGGUCAGAGGAGGUUAAGGUUCUAGAGCACAAGUUAAAAGAAGCUGAUGAAAUGCACACAUUGUUACAGCUUGAGUGUGAAAAAUACAAAUCCGUCCUUGCAGAAACAGUAGGAAAUGAUUUUUAAUCUACAUUUUGAUUUUACUUUAAAUCAUUACCUUCUUCCUUCGUGGCCUAAAUAGUUUUAUCUUGGCAUUAGAACAUGAAUUUUUCAAAACAACUAUACUUUUGUCUGUAGGAAGGAAUUUUACAGAAGCUACAGAGGAGUGUUGAGCAAGAAGAAAAUAAAUGGAAAGUUAAGGUCGAUGAAUCACACAAGACUAUUAAACAGAUGCAGUCAUCAUUUACAUCUUCAGAACAAGAGCUAGAGCGAUUAAGAAGAGAAAAUAAGGAUAUUGAAAAUCUGAGAAGAGAACGAGAACAUUUGGAAAUGGAACUAGAAAAGGCAGAGAUGGAACGAUCUACCUAUGUUACAGAAGUCAGAGAGUUGAAGGCACAGUUAAAUGAAACACUCACAAAACUUAGAACUGAACAAAAUGAAAGACAGAAGGUAGCUGGUGAUUUGCAUAAGGCUCAACAGUCACUGGAGCUUAUCCAGUCAAAAAUAGUAAAAGCUGCUGGAGACACUACUGUUAUUGAAAAUAGUGAUGUUUCCCCAGAAACGGAGUCUUCUGAGAAGGAGACAAUGUCUGUAAGUCUAAAUCAGACUGUAACACAGUUACAGCAGUUGCUUCAGGCAGUAAACCAACAGCUCACAAAAGAGAAAGAGCACUACCAGGUGUUAGAGUGAAGUAAUUGGGAAACUGUUCAUUUGAGGAUAAAAAAGGCAUUGUAUUAUAUUUUGCCAAAUUAAAGCCUUAUUUAUGUUUUCACCCUUUCUACUUUGUCAGAAACACUGAACAGAGUUUUGUCUUUUCUAAUCCUUGUUAGACUACUGAUUUAAAGAAAGAAAAAAAAAAGCCAACUCUGUAGACACCUUCAGAGUUUAGUUUUAUAAUAAAAACUGUUUGAAUAAUUAGACCUUUACAUUCCUGAAGAUAAACAUGUAAUCUUUUAUCUUAUUUUGCUCAAUAAAAUUGUUCAGAAGAUCAAAGUGGUAAAGACAAUGUAAAAUUUAACAUUUUAAUACUGAUGUUGAACACUGUUUUACUUAACAUUUUGGGAAGUAACUGCCUCUGACUUCAACUCAAGAAAACACUUUUUUGUUGCUAAUGUAAUCGGUUUUUGUAAUGGCGUCAGCAAAUAAAAGGAUGCUUAUUAUUCAAACUUG
rnacentral:sRNA from 1 species